CCCUUAGAUGUUCUGGGCCGCACGCGCGCUACACUGACUGGUUCAUCGAGUAUACAACCUUGACUGAUAGGUCUGGGUAAUCUUCUCAAAGCCAGUCGUGCUGGGGAUAGAUUAUUGUAAUUUUUAAUCUUCAACGAGGAAUUCCUAGUAAACGCGAGUCAUCAACUCGCAUUGAUUACGUCCCUGCCCUUUGUACACACCGCCCGUCGCUACUACCGAUUGAAUGGUUUAGUGAGAUCUUCGGAUUGGCGCCACUGCGGCUCAGCAAUGGGCUCGGUGGAUGCCGAAAAGUUGAUCAAACUUGAUCAUUUAGAGGAAGUAAAAGUCGUAACA
rnacentral:rRNA from 1 species